UACGUAGGUGGCAAGCGUUGUCCGGAUUUACUGGGCGUAAAGGAUGCGUAGGCGGAUUUUUAAGUGGGAUGUGAAAUACCCGAGCUCAACUUGGGUGCUGCAUUCCAAACUGGAAGUCUAGAGUGUGGGAGAGGAUAGUGGAAUUCCUAGUGUAGCGGUGAAAUGCGUAGAGAUUAGGAAGAACACCAGUGGCGAAGGCGACUAUCUGGACCAUAACUGACGCUGAGGCAUGAAAGCGUGGGGAGCAAACAGG
rnacentral:rRNA from 1 species